rnacentral:rRNA from 1 species
AGAGUUUGAUCAUGGCUCAGAAUGAACGUUGGCGGCGUGGAUUAGGCAUGCAAGUCGAGCGGGUAUAGCAAUAUAUCAGCGGCGAAAGGGAGAGUAACGCGUAGCUACGUACCCCGGAGUCCAGAAUAGCCAGCCGAAAGGCUGGGUAAUGCUGGAUGAUGUCUCCGGACUAAAGGUGUGAUUCCGCUUUGGGAGCGGGCUGCGUUGUACUAGCUAGUUGGUAGGGUAAUGGCCUACCAAGGCGAUGAUGCAUACCGGGCGUGUGAGCGUGGCCCGGCUCACUGGGACUGAGACACUGCCCAGACACCUACGGGUGGCUGCAGUCGAGAAUCUUCGGCAAUGAGCGCAAGCUUGACCGAGCGACGCCGCGUGCGGGAUGAAGGCCUUCGGGUUGUAAACCGCGAAAGUAGGGAGGAAAUCGCUGGGGGUUCUCCCCCAGUGUUGACCUAUCUUCAGUAAGGACGGGCUAAGUUCGUGCCAGCAGCCGCGGUAAUACGAACCGUCCAAACGUUAUUCGGAUUUAUUGGGCUUAAAGGGUAUGUAGGCGGCCCUUCAAGUCGGGUGUGAAAGCCCUCGGCUCAACCGAGGAACUGCGCCCGAUACUGCAGGGCUUGAGGGAGACAGAGGUAAGCGGAACUGAUGGUGGAGCGGUGAAAUGCGUUGAUAUCAUCAGGAACACCAGUGGCGAAAGCGGCUUACUGGGUCUCUUCUGACGCUGAGAUACGAAAGCUAGGGGAGCGAACGGGAUUAGAUACCCCUGUAGUCC